rnacentral:rRNA from 1 species
AUUGAACGCUGGCGGCAUGGCUAAAACAUGCAAGUCGAACGCGAAAGCACUUCGGUGCAAGUAGAGUGGCGAAAGGGCGAGGAAUAACUACCUAACGUGCCUUCAGGUAAGGGAUAGCUCAUGGAAACGUGUGGUAAUACCUUAUAAUCUCAUUCCUUCGUAUGUUGGAUUGAGCAAAGGCUUGCUGCCUGAAGAUCGGGGUAGUUCCUAUCAGCUUGUUGGUGAGGUAACGGCUCACCAAGGCGAAGACGGGUAGCGGGUGUGAGAGCAUGACCCGCCGCAUCGGGGACUGAGACACUGCCCGGACUCCUACGGGAGGCUGCAGUAACGAAUAUUCCGCAAUGCGCGAAAGCGUGACGGAGCAAUGCCGCGUGUGGGAUGAAGCAUCUAGGUGU